UGCUCAUCGAGCGGUUCGCUGCCUGAGAUGGAGUUGUCACAUUCAACGAAGAGUUGAGACUUCUUUACAAAGACCACUGAUUCUAUGUUUUUCUUCGUAGUUUGUUCCUCAAGUGUCUUUACUCGCUCUUGCAGUUGUUUCAGAUGAGUUUGAUCGAACAAUUACAACUGAAAAUGACAGAGAAGGAAAACAAGAUAUAUUUUAUACAGAGGCGGUUUAACAAGGCUGGCAGAUAAUUUAGAUAAGAUACCUAGAGGAUGUAGUCAAAGAGAUGGUAUAGUCCAAUUCCAGCUUAGCAAUUAUAUAUAUAUAUGUAUUGUUUGAAAGCUAAGUUUAUACUUUCUAAUCUCAUUUUCUUUUGUGUUCUAUCAAUUCUGGGAUAAUAAAAAUAUAAACAAAAGAACAAAAUAAUCCAAGAGGCAACAUCAAGAAAACAAAAUUUUUAGUGAAUCUGAUACCUUCUUCAGGCCAGGAACUAUAGCAGACAAAGCAAUGAACCGCUGGCUGAGCUUCUCUCGCCUUUUCCUUUCUGCUAUAAUGUGAUCUUGUGUUUGAGAAAGUCUAGUGCUUGUGCUAAUCCUCUUACCACCAUGGCAGGCCUUAAAUACAUAAUUUUGGUUCCCCAAGGAACCUUGAGAAAUUAAAAUAUCAGAAGGAAGGGUAUUCACGCUCUGGGAACAUACUGCCUCCUCUUUAGGCUUUACAAUCCCCAUUUGAUUUGCAUAGUUCGCAUUGGCAAAUGAUAGAACGUUUGGAGUAGGAGGAAGUUGGGGAUAUGAUGCAUCUUCAAGUUUGUAAGAGUUCCAGCCGUUGGAUUUGAGCUGUUUCAUGGGUAUGUCAGUACCAGUCUGAGGAGUUGCCAUGGCGUUUUUGAGAUUGAAGUUUGGUUGAGUGAAUGAGUGUUGCAAACUCUCUCCAAAUGUAGCUGCUAGUGGUAGUAUGCUGAGCUCAUCAACAGAGUUCAUGUGCCACUGAUUGAUGAACCUAGGAUCCUCCAUACCCUGCAAAUUUGAUAUUUUCCUCGUUAUCAUUAUCUUAUAGCACUCGUAUAUAGAAUACCAACAAUAUUGACUUGUUCAAAACAAAAAUUUUAGUAACAUCCUUAUUCAUAGAAUUCCA